ensembl:lncRNA
GGCCCAGUAAAGUUGCCACAUAAAAUUAAGCAUCUACUGUAUAACACAUACUGAAAUUUGAGGCCCUCUGCAGGCCACUUGGAACCAUAGAUUUUCAAGAAGGGAAUGAUGCAAGCACACCAGCUGAGAACUGCUGAAGAACAAACAACCCCUGGCAACUAAGUGGGAGGCUCCAAGGAAGAGGCCUGUGCAGCCCACAAGGACAGAGUCUUAGAGUCUUUUCUGGCUUUAGGAUCGAAGUGAGAUUAUCCAGAGCAAUCUGCAGACUAACUUAAAAGGUGAUCUAUCUGGACACGGAAGUAUCUGAAGAAGCAAAAGUAUUUUUUUUUCCACCCAGAUGACUGAGGCAGACAGUCUCUACCUAGGGAUCUAAGUGGCCAUGUUUAACCAUCUCCAAUCAAGACUGCAAUGAAGUUCAAUAUUUUGCAGGUCUAGAGCAUGUGGAACAUUUGGUGAUAGGUGAUUGCAAAGAAGCAAGAGGAAACUAAGCAGACUGACAAGUCGGGGAAGGCCUCGAAUACCAUCCUCCCUGGUAGCCCUAGUGGUGCCCACUUCCUUGCCUCAGGACAAGGGUAUGCUGAAGAGAAGACAUGGUAGGAACAAACAGGGAGAUCUGAUAGGCAUUUGGAAGCCUGGUCCUCCCGACACAGCCAAGUUCAUUCAC